AUUGGGAAUUGCAUUACAUGCAAAUUUUAUGCUGCCAAUUGCUGCUAUUAUACGAAAUGCAGAGGAGCGCAGAUAUUGAAGAUAGCGAAAUUGCAUUAACUGCAAGCUGACUAGCAGAGCACAUCAACUGCGGCAAGGAGAUUUAGCCAAGUGGGCUGCACAGCCAAUAGGGCGGAUAUUUAAGUUAGUUUUUAGUUAAUUCAAAAUGUGCAUCUUAGGCGCAAGUGCCGUCAGAUAUGUUCGCUGCACAUAUAUAUAUAUAUGUGCCGAAAAUAAA
rnacentral:sRNA from 1 species